UACGGGGGGGGCAAGCGUUGUUCGGAAUUACUGGGCGUAAAGGGCUCGUAGGCGGUCCGUCACGUCGGAUGUGAAAUUCCAGGGCUCAACCCUGGACCUGCAUUCGAUACGGGCGGACUAGAGUUCGGUAGGGGAGACUGGAAUUCCUGGUGUAGCGGUGAAAUGCGCAGAUAUCAGGAGGAACACCGGUGGCGAAGGCGGGUCUCUGGGCAACAACUGACGCUGAGGAGCGAAAGCGUGGGGAGCGAACAGG
rnacentral:rRNA from 1 species